GUGGAAACCUGGCUAAUGACAGAACAGAAACUUGGAAUAACUAUACGAAAUCAGAUCCAAAUAUAAACAAUACAAGAAUAACUCAAAAUACAAGAACCAGACCAAAGAACUGCAGACGUCUAUGGUGUUAAAGAUAACACACCUUCCAUCUGUGGACUUCAAACUGAGAGAUCCGGUGCACAGAGAAAUGAGGAUGUGUGCCCUCAGCAGGUUUAAAUCACCUGAGCCUCUGUGGCGCUACGGAAUUAGGUGAAGGACAAGCUGCAGAUUGUGAUUCAUUGCUCGCCCUCGCCUCAUCCUUGCUGCGGAAGUUGAAGCAAAGAGAAAAAGAAAAAAGCUCCAGCAGAUUUCAAGAGCUUGUUCUCACAGCGUUGGUGUGUGUUCCACUUAGAAUUCGCUGUCAGUACCACUCGCAUCGGGGAUCUGUGUGCAGUCAGCUGCUGCUGAUCCGGUGCAGCCACGUCAGAUAUGAACGGUACUGGUCAUUAUUGGAACAACGGAUGAGUCUGAUGAUUAGCUGAACUGGAAAUUUCAGAAUCUGUUCAACAGAGAGAAACAACUAGGAGUCUUGAAGGCCUGCAGACAGAGAUGGCUUUGUUUGAGUGUUUAUGUUCAUAAAAAUGGUGGUAGGUGAUAUGUGAUGCUUAUGCGCAAAGUUUAUCUCUGAAAACCUUAUAUGGGAUGCAUACAACAGCAAACAGGUCAUUACUACAUUAUAACCUAAACUCAAGGUCAAAUUAACUUUCUAAAGGGGUUGAAGACAGUUUUGAAGCUUUGGCUGCUCUCCUCUUGAGUGCUCUUGCUCUAAGUAGUGAGUUUAUGUUUUCAAAGUUUUAUCUUCUCUCUUUGGUCUCCUUUAAUGCUGAACCAGCAGCAGAUUUCAGUCCAGCAGCAUUGGAGGCAAUUGAGUUGGACUAGAGUUGAAUUAUGCGAUUGUAUGUGCCCUGCUCGGAGGUUGUUUUGUACAAUUGCCCACCAUGUGGGGCAUAGUUAUUCUACUGGUUCCAACAUCAGUAGCCAUGUGUUGGGACCAAUUGUCUUGAAGAGCACCCAUAAGGCCUGAUUGUGCUGAGGAAG